rnacentral:rRNA from 1 species
AGAACGAACGCUGGCGGCAUGCCUAAUACAUGCAAGUCGAACGAACUCUUCGGAGUUAGUGGCGCACGGGUGCGUAACGCGUGGGAAUCUGCCCUUGGGUUCGGAAUAACAGUUGGAAACGACUGCUAAUACCGGAUGAUGACGAAAGUCCAAAGAUUUAUCGCCCAGGGAUGAGCCCGCGUAGGAUUAGCUAGUUGGUGAGGUAAAGGCUCACCAAGGCGACGAUCCUUAGCUGGUCUGAGAGGAUGAUCAGCCACACUGGGACUGAGACACGGCCCAGACUCCUACGGGAGGCAGCAGUAGGGAAUAGUUGGAC